rnacentral:rRNA from 1 species
GGUCUAUUUGUGGCACCAAUGGGCUUUUUUUGGCAGCAGUGGGGAAUAUGUGCACAAUGGGCGCAAGCCUGAUGCAGGGCCCCCGCGUGGGGGAUGACGGCCUUCGGGUUGUAAACCUCUUUCACCUUUGACGAAGGGCGAGUGACGGUACAUGCAGAAGAAGCCCCGGCCAAUUACGUGCCAGCAGCCGCGGUAAUACGUAGGGUGCGAGCGUUGUCCGGAAUUACUGGGCGUAAAGAGCUCGUAGGUGGUUUGUCCCGUUUUUAUUGAAAACUCACUGGUUAACUGUGGGAGUGCGGGCGAUACGGGCAGACUGGAGUACUGCAGGGGAGGCGGGAAUACCUGGUGUUGCGGUGGAAUGCGCAGAUAUCAGGAGGAACACCGGUGGCGAAGGCGGGUCUCUGGGCAGUAACUGACGCUGAGGAGCGAAAGCCAGGAAAGCAAAAAGGAUGAGAAACCCCCGAAGACCACCCCGCAAACGGC